rnacentral:rRNA from 1 species
AGCAGCCGCCGCGGGAAUACGGAGGGUGCAAGCGUUAAUCGGAAUUACUGGGCGUAAAGCGCACGCAGGCGGUCUGACAAGUCAGAUGUGAAAUCCCCGGGCUUAACCUGGGAACUGCAUUUGAAACUGUCAGGCUGGAGUCUUGUAGAGGGGGGUGGAAUUCCAGGUGUAGCGGUGAAAUGCGUAGAGAUCUGGAGGAAUACCGGUGGCGAAGGCGGCCCCCUGGACAAAGACUGACGCUCAGGUGCGAAAGCGUGGGGAGCAAACAGGAUUAGAUACCCCUGUAGUCCUGUCUCUUAUACC